rnacentral:rRNA from 1 species
GACGAACGCUGGCGGCGUGCCUAAUACAUGCAAGUUGAGCGCUGAAGGUUGGUACUUGUACCAACUGGAUGAGCAGCGAACGGGUGAGUAACGCGUGGGGAAUCUGCCUUUGAGCGGGGGACAACAUUUGGAAACGAAUGCUAAUACCGCAUAAAAACUUUAAACACAAGGUUUAAGUUUGAAAGAUGCAAUUGCAUCACUCAAAGAUGAUCCCGCGUUGUAUUAGCUAGUUGGUGAGGUAAAGGCUCACCAAGGCGAUGGUACAUAGCCGACCUGAGAGGGUGAUCGGCCACAUUGGGAAUGGGACACGGCCCAAACUCCUACGGGAGGCAGCAGUAGGGAAUCUUCGGCAAUGGACGAAAGGCUGACCGAGCAACGCCGCGGGAGUGAAGAAGGUUUUCGGAUCGUAAAACUCUGUUGGUAGAGAAGAACGUUGGUGGGAGUGAAAAGCUCAUCAAGUGACGGUAACUACCCAGAAAGGGACGGCUAACUACGUG